UACGAAGGGGGCGAGCGUUGUCCGGAUUUACUGGGCGUAAAGAGCGCGCAGGCGGUCGUUCAAGUCGCGUGUGAAAGCCCCCGGCUCAACUGGGAGGGUGCGCCGGAAACUGCAAGGCUGGAGUAUGGGAGAGGUAGGCGGAAUUCCUGGUGUAGCGGUGAAAUGCGCAGAUAUCAGGAGGAACACCGGUGGCGAAGGCGGAUCUCUGGGCCGUAAACUGACGCUGGAGGAGCGAAAGCCGUGGGGAGCGAACAGG
rnacentral:rRNA from 1 species